UACGGGGGGAGCAAGCGUUGUUCGGAUUUACUGGGCGUAAAGGGCGCGUAGGCGGCCACCGCAAGUCGAUUGUGAAAUCUCCGGGCUUAACUCGGAAAGGUCAACCGAUACUGCGGGGCUAGAGUGCAGAAGGGGCAACUGGAAUUCUCGGUGUAGCGGUGAAAUGCGUAGAUAUCGAGAGGAACACCUGCGGCGAAGGCGGGUUGCUGGGCUGACACUGACGCUGAGGCGCGAAAGCAUGGGGAGCGAACAGG
rnacentral:rRNA from 1 species